rnacentral:piRNA from 1 species
CUUGUAGCUGUGCCUGAAGGAA